rfam:Nippostrongylus brasiliensis genome assembly, scaffold: NBR_scaffold0000339
AUCUCAGUAGCAUAGUGGUUAGUGCACAGCCCCGGAUAGGCUGAGACCCGAGUUCGAAUCCCGCUUGAGGUG